CCCUUAGAUGUUCUGGGCGGCCCGCGCACUACAAUGGCGUGUGCAGCGAGUGCCGAAGUAGAGUUUUCCGAGGUAUUCUUGCAAUGCUCGUUUUGAUGGGGAUAGACCCUUGCAACUGUUGGGUUUGAACGAGGAAUUCCUUGUAAGCAUGGUUUAUCAUCCGACGCUGAAUGCGUCCCUGCCCUUUGUACACACCGCCCGUCGCUCCUACCGAUGAGUCGUCCGGUGAAGUUCGUAGACCUCGUGAUCGCGGAUCACUGGGGGAAGCAAAAUGAACCUCGCGGUUUAGAGGAAGGAGAAGUCGUAACA
rnacentral:rRNA from 1 species